rnacentral:rRNA from 1 species
GAUGAACGCUGACAGCAUGCUUAACACAUGCAAGUCCACUUGAACUUCGGUUUGGGUGGCGGACGGGUGAGUAACGCGUAAAGAACUUGCCUCACAGCUAGGGACAACAUUUGGAAACGAAUGCUAAUACCUGAUAUUAUGAUUUUAGGGCAUCCUAGAAUUAUGAAAGCUAUAUGCGCUGUGAGAGAGCUUUGCGUCCCAUUAGCUAGUUGGAGAGGUAACGGCUCACCAAGGCGAUGAUGGGUAGCCGGCCUGAGAGGGUGAACGGCCACAAGGGGACUGAGACACGGCCCUUACUCCUACGGGAGGCAGCAGUGGGGAAUAUUGGACAAUGGACCAAGAGUCUGAUCCAGCAAUUCUGUGUGCACGAUGAAGUUUUUCGGAAUGUAAAGUGCUUUCAGUUGGGAAGAAAAAAAUGACGGUACCAACAGAAGAAGUGACGGCUAAAUACGUG